rnacentral:rRNA from 1 species
AUUGAACGCUGGCGGCAGGCCUAACACAUGCAAGUCGAGCGAGCGGCGGACGGGUGAGUAAUGUCUGGGAACCUGCCGGAUGGAGGGGGAUAACUACUGGAAACGGUAGCUAAUACCGCAUACCAUCUGUUGUGCACAGAUGGGAUUAGCUGGUAGGGGGGGUAACGGCUCACCUAGGCGACGAACCCUAGCUGGUCGGCGAGGAUGACCAGCCACACGGGAAAUGAGAAACGGUCCAGACUCCUACGGGAGGCAGCAGUGGGGAAUAGUGCACAAUGGGCGCAAGCCGGAUGAAGCCAUGCCGCGGGGGUGAAGAAGGCCUUCGGGUUGUAAAGCACGUUCAGCGGGGAGGCGUUACCCGAAGAAGAAGCACCGGCUAACUCCGUGCCAGCAGCCGCGGUAAUUC